GGAAACAUAAAAAGCUUGCCGCCUAGUAAAAUUGGAACAAUACAAAGAACAUUAGCAUAGCCAUGCAUAAGGAUAAAAGGGAUGCGCCACGGAGAAGUUAUUUUUCUUA
rnacentral:snRNA from 1 species